rnacentral:lncRNA from 1 species
UUGGAGCACAUACAUGAGAGUAAAAAACCAAAAAAAAACGAAGAAAAAUAGAAAAACAAAAUAAAUAAAGAAACUAUCAUAAAAGAAUAAAAAAAGAAGUGUGUUUGAAAAUUAUAAUUUAUUUUUUGUGUUUUUUUUUUGGGGGAACCAAGACUAAAGAAAACAAAAUGAAAAAAAAAAAAAGAGAAAAAUAGGAAAAAUCAAGUUAAUGCAACUCUGUCUCUCUGCAUUACUUGCAGAUGUUUCCUGGAGGCUGAACCCAAGUUACAAAUUCGGCUUCUCUUUGAGCACUCAGCCUCGCCAAUUAGUUCGCGACAAGUUCACCAUCAGCUGGAAACGCACCUUGAACCUUGAACUCUAUUUAAGAUGAAAAAUCCUCUAAAUCACCUCCUGAUCGGUGUGUACUUCAGAAAUCCUCCAUUGCCUAAUGAUAGAAAACACAUUAGGUGAGUCCAUCUCACAUACAAUCUUGUUCGUACUUGCUUCAAUCGCUAGCAACUCUUCACACAGCCCAAAGCUCUGUCCUGAGAGUGCUUGUCCCCAAAAUCUUGCUGGAACAUCCAUAAAUUUACUUCCAUCACUAUCCCUUAUCAUGCAAUCAAAACCUGCUCUCCCUUACUCUAGAAGACACUCUCAUUGUAAUUUAAAUUGAAGAAAUCAAGCUUAGGCAGCGACCAAUUAGAAGAGGGCAUGAAGUAUGCAAAAUGGAUACAGAUAUUCCUAUCUCUUUUUAAAUCCUCCACUAUGGUACACACUUUGAAAGUUGACUCUGUAGCUAAGAGCUCUACAUUAUCAAAGAUAAAAUUGUUCCUAUCUAGCUAGAUUGACCAAACUCUAGUUGUAAAAACUAAGCUCUCCCUUUCGCACACCCUAUUUGUAUCCAACUGUGAACACUUUAGUUCGAGAAAAAAAAAUUACAUUUAAAAAAUCCAGUAGCAUCCAUCCCGACCUAGCUUUAGGACAAUCUUAAAGAUAGUAUAAAAUAGUUUCUAGACUACGGUUGCAACAUUGACACAUAUUAGAUGGAACUAGAUUUAUAUGAUGAAAGAAGAUAGCAUUGAGAAGUGAUUAAUAAAAACUUAACCAUAAAAAAAGUUGGACCUUCUAUGGGAUUUAAAGUUUCCAAAGCCAAGACCAAUUUGAGCUCUGCU